rnacentral:rRNA from 1 species
UACAGAGGUCUCAAGCGUUGUUCGGAUUCAUUGGGCGUAAAGCGCGCGUAGGCGGACCUGCAAGUCGGGGGUGAAAGCCCGAGGCUCAACCUCGGAACUGCCUUCGAUACUGCGGGUCUCGAGUCCGGGAGAGGUGAGUGGAAUUCCUAGUGUAGAGGUGAAAUUCGUAGAUAUUAGGAAGAACACCAGUGGCGAAGGCGGCUCACUGGCCCGGUACUGACGCUGAGGCGCGAAAGCGUGGGGAGCAAACAGGG